UCCCUUGUGGUCCAGUGGUUAGGAUUUGGCACUUUGACUGCCGUGGCCCAGGUUCAAUCCCUGGCUGGGGAA